GGCCGAGGUGAGCGGGGGAAGAUGGCGGAGUGAGAGGAAGAGGCGGAGGAGAGAGGGCCGGCUCCGGCUCCGGCUCCGGCCCGGCGGCCUCGGCCAGGCGCAGGUUCACUUGUAUUCCAUUUUGAGUGCCAAUCAGCAAACUGAAAAGGAAGGGCUCUGGGUGGAAAAUGAUGGCACAUGUGGCCAUGAGGUUAAGGGCCUAUUCCUGGCAUCCCAGAAGAAGUUGUUCUGUUACUUUUGCUUAGAAACUGAUCAUAGACAGUAAAUGGUGAAUGCUCCACUACUGGUGAAGAAAAGUCUUUUUUUUAUCUCCAUGAUGUGUAAUGAGGAAGUAUUCUUCUCUUUACGUUUCAACUUCUUAAACCAGCAUUUGAUGUAUGGAGCCUGCACCAGCUGGCUUCCCCCAUAGGAGCACACUGCAAGCAUUUUACAAACCCUUACAAGCAAGCAACUGAAAACAAUGUUUGAUAUGUUCCUGAAGUGAUGUCUUCAGAGUUUUUGAGCUCUGUUUUGCACCCUAGAGAAGAUUUUUACAAGCAUGCUCAUACAGAAACCAGUCUUCUUGAAUGAUAUCUCCUUCCUAUAUCUUAGGAGGGUAACAUCUUCUCCCACUGUGUCCUAUUGGAGAACCAAGUAAAUGGAUAAUGCAUCUGCAUGUGAUGCUGUGCCAAGCUAUUUCAACGUGUGAAAGGUUGCAACAAGAAUACAUUUCCACCCUGAAAUGAGGAACAAACUUAAAAAAAAAAACCCACAAUCCUGGAAAAUCCCAUAAUGAGGAUGUCCUAAUCCAGAACAAAGAACUGACUUUGUAGAUAAAUAUCUCAAUGUCACCUUGUGAAGCAGCUAAUGCACAGAAACAAAUACAGAAUUACCUUGUCCAUCAUGGAUGAAUGAAUCAUCACAUUCUGUGAUCCAGAGUAUUUGCAUGUGUAAAUCCACAUAACCAGUGAAUGUGAAGAGCUUUCACCAGGAAAAGAAGUUGCUCUGCACUGUCUCUCUUUGUAGCAAGCCCCUUCCCUAAGAAGGUGAAUCUCUGAGAACUUCUUAGUGCUAAAUUUGAUCCUAUAGUGUUGGGUUUACAUUGUAUCUCCAGUCUUCUUCAGCAGCAAAAGGAACAAAAAACUCUCUGUGAUCCAAGAGAUGGGACAGAACUACUUCUUUUUAAUAAAGGAAGUGGCCUCUGGUGGGUUGGGAGAGGCUACAAAUAUAAUGCUCCAACUCAUCCCCUCAGGGUCCUGAGUGCAGUUUGUAACUUCUUCAUACAGCUGAUAGAGCUGGUUUUUAACUCUCCUUUGGCUACUGGAGAACUGGGAAGAGUACUCUUCCAGGGUGUAGAUGGGAGGUCUGAUGGAGAAACAAGUUCAGAGAGAGCAGAAAUGCUGAAGGAAGUGUGCUCUUUUUCUGGCUUCUCCUGUAUCUCCAUCCCAAACUAAGGAGGAGAUCAUGGUUCUCACGUGUUUACACCAGAUUCUUUGUCUCCAUCACUUGUGACUUUUAUACGGGAUGUUUUCCUUCCAUUUUAGAUAGAAGCUUUAUGUUGUUUAGUUGCUCUCUGCAGUGGUUGCCUGUAUGGUCAAUGAGCUUUCUUGGUGGAAAGGCCAUAAUUGGUUUAUCUGUUUUCUUCUGCUUGAACCUGGACCUCUUCAUAGUGCACCUUAUUCCAAGCUUGUGUUAAUGUGAAUUUAGCAAAUGUGAUUUGCUGAUUUUUAAAAAAAUACAAUUUCAAAUCUGGACC